rnacentral:rRNA from 1 species
GACGAACGCUGGCGGCGUGCUUAACACAUGCAAGUCGAACGGAAAGGCCUCUUUCGGGGGGUACUCGAGUGGCGAACGGGUGAGUAACACGUGAGUAACCUGCCCUUGACUUUGGGAUAACUUCAGGAAACUGGGGCUAAUACCGGAUAGGAGCUCCUGCUGCAUGGUGGGGGUUGGAAAGUUUCGGCGGUUGGGGAUGGACUCGCGGCUUAUCAGCUUGUUGGUGGGGUAGUGGCUUACCAAGGCUUUGACGGGUAGCCGGCCUGAGAGGGUGACCGGCCACAUUGGGACUGAGAUACGGCCCAGGCUCCUACGGGAGGCAGCAGUGGGGAAUAUUGCACAAUGGGUGGAAGCCUGAUGCAGCAACGCCGUGUGCGGGAUGACGGCCUUCGGGUUGUAAAACGCUUUCGCUCAUGACGAAGCUUUGUGUGACGGUAGUGGGUAAAGAAGCACCGGCUAACUACGUG